AGUGAACGCUGGCGGUAGGCCUAACACAUGCAAGUCGAACGGCAGCACAGUAAGAGCUUGCUCUUACGGGUGGCGAGUGGCGGACGGGUGAGGAAUACAUCGGAAUCUACUCUUUCGUGGGGGAUAACGUAGGGAAACUUACGCUAAUACCGCAUACGACCUACGGGUGAAAGCAGGGGAUCUUCGGACCUUGCGCGAUUGAAUGAGCCGAUGUCGGAUUAGCUAGUUGGCGGGGUAAAGGCCCACCAAGGCGACGAUCCGUAGCUGGUCUGAGAGGAUGAUCAGCCACACUGGAACUGAGACACGGUCCAGACUCCUACGGGAGGCAGCAGUGGGGAAUAUUGGACAAUGGGCGCAAGCCUGAUCCAGCCAUACCGCGUGGGUGAAGAAGGCCUGCGGGUUGUAAAGCCCUUUUGUUGGGAAAGAAAAGCAGCAGGUUAAUACCCCGCUGUUCUGACGGUACCCAAAGAAUAAGCACCGGCUAACUUCGU
rnacentral:rRNA from 1 species